UACGUAGGAGGCAAGCGUUAUCCGGAAUUACUGGGCGUAAAGGGCGUCUAGGUGGCGCGUCAAGCGGGGUGUGAAAGCUCUCGGCUCAACUGAGAGAGUGCGCUCCGAACUAGCGAGCUAGAGGGCAGGCGACGCAGGUGGAAUACCCGGUGGAGUGGUGAAAUGCGUAGAGAUCGGGUGGAACACCAGUGGCGAAGGCGGCCUGCGAGCCUGCACCUGACACUGAAGCGCGACAGCGUGGGGAGCAAACGGG
rnacentral:rRNA from 1 species